GACGAACGCUGGCGGCGUGCUUAACACAUGCAAGUCGAACGAUGAACCAGGGCUUGCCCUGGGGAUUAGUGGCGAACGGUGAGUAACACGUGGGCAACCUGCCCCAGACACCGGGAUAACCUCUCGAAAGAGUGGCUAAUACCGGAUAUGACCACUUCGGGCAUCCGACGGUGGUGGAAAGGAUUCUGGUCUGGGAUGGGGCCCGCGGCCUAUCAGCUAGUUGGUGGGGUAAUGGCCUACCAAGGCGACGACGGGUAGCCGGCCUGAGAGGGCGACCGGCCACACUGGGACUGAGACACGGCCCAGACUCCUACGGGAGGCAGCAGUGGGGAAUAUUGCGCAAUGGGCGAAAGCCUGACGCAGCGACGCCGCGUGAGGGACGAAGGGUCUUCGGAUUGUAAACCUCUUUCAGCAGGACGAAGCGAAAGUGACUGUACCUGCAGAAGAAGCACCGGCUAACUACGUGCCAGCAGCCGCGGUAAU
rnacentral:rRNA from 1 species